GUUUCUGUAGUGUAGUGGUUAUCACGUUCGCUUUACACGCGAAAGGUCCCUGGUUCGAAACCGAGGCGGAAACA